rnacentral:rRNA from 1 species
AUUGAACGCUGGCGGCAGGCCUACCACAUGCAAGUCGAACGAGUGGCGGAAGGGUGAGUCAUGUCUGGGAAACUGCCCGAUGGAGGGGGAUAACUACUGUAAACGGUAGCUAAUACCGCAUACCAUCGGAUGUGCCCAGAGGUGCUUAGCUAGUCGGUGGGGUAACGGCUCACCUAGGCGACGAGCCCUAGCUGGUCUGAGAGGAUGACCAGCCACACUGGAAAUGAGCAACGGUCCAGACUCCUACGGGAGGCAGCAGUGGGGAAUAUUGCACAAUGGGCGCAAGCCUGAUGCAGCCAUGCCGCGUGUAUGAAGAAGGCCUUCGGGUUGUAAAGGACUUUCAGCGAGGAGGCGUUACUCGCAGAAGAAGCACCGGCUAACUCCGUGCCAGCCGCCGCGGUAAUUC